rnacentral:rRNA from 1 species
UACGUAGGGGGGCAAGCGUUUGUUCGGAAUUACUGGGCGUAAAGCGCGCGUAGGCGGAUUGGCAAGUCAGAUGUGAAAGCCCCGGGCUCACCUGGGAACUGCAUUUGAUACUGCCAGACUAGAGUACAGAAGAGGCAAUCGGAAUUCCCAGUGGUAGCGGUGAAAUGCGUAGAUAUUGGGAGGAACACCAGAAUGCGAAAGGCGGAUUGCUGGGCUGAUAC